rnacentral:lncRNA from 1 species
CACAUAUUUCAAAAGCCCAGAAUGUUAACUGUGCAUUGGGGAAGUAAUGAGACCUAGUUUUUCUAAAUGAAAAUUUAAGCCUCCUAGCCUAGCAGAAGUCUUGCCCAGAGUCCUGAGGCCAUUUGGAUGGAGAUUAUUCAUCCAUGCCUGCGAUCUCUGAAGAAACGUGGAGAAUAGAAAUAGUGCUGGACAGGUGUGGGGGGACAUGUGUGGAAAAGGGCUUCAAAGGACGGGUAUCUUUCAAUAUUUAGCGCUUGCAGAGUUUCCAGACUUGUUCUGAGGGCGCCCGCAGUAUAAAACUAGAGUCAGAGAAAGGACAUUAAAUGGGACCAGAUUUAAGUGUCUGGAGUUAAAGUGGGUUUCUUCCCCAGCUGCAGAGUAACCUGCACUUGGAAGGAUUCCAGUGUAAGAUGGAUGAGACCAUGGCCUGGAGAUGUCUCAGGCGGGAUGUUAACAUCAGGGGGCGAUAGGACCUUGAAGGGUUCCUCUGACCUGUUUCUAAAAGGGUGACUUUGCAUGUGUAAGACUAGGCCAGAGAAGUACUUGGAUCUUCGGCUUUCCUCAUUUCCGGGUUGGGAUACUCGGAUUCAGAGAGGCUAAGAGAGCUCUUGGUGACAGGCAGGCUAGGUGGCCCUCUGGGCUCUUCCCUGACGGCAGCUGUCAUGUAUACCAGGCUAUCCAGGGAGCCUCUAGGAGCAGGACAGGUUUGGGGCUGGGCUCACUGGGGUUCAAAUCCCAGCUCUGGCCUUUCAGUCAUCCUUCAGUAUCUGUGGGGGAUUAGUUCCUGGACCCCUUGCAGAUACUGACAUCCUUCCAUGAAUGGCAUAAUAUUCACGUAUAACUUAUGCGCAUCCUCACGGAUUCUUUAAAUCCUCUCUAAAGGAUUUUUUUUUUGGUAAACUUAGAAAACCUCAUACAAUGUAAAUGCUGUAACUUUCUGGAAAAUUUUUUGCUCUUUCUGUUUUGGCUCCCCACAGCCUAUGGAGUUCCCGGGCCAGGGAUCAGAUCCCAGCCACACAGUUGUGACCUGUGCUGCAGCUGCGGCGAUGCUUGCUGGAUCCUUAACUCACUGCACAGAACCCAUAUUCCUGUGCUUCAGAGACGUCGUCAAUCCCAUUGUGCCACAGCGGGAACUCCUGGGAAAAUUAUUUUUCCUCCCAAAUAUUUUUCAUCUGCGGUUGGUUGAAUCUACAGACGCGGAGCCCUCAGAGCCAGAGGGUCAGGUGUACUCUGUAACCUUCAUUCCUUUUUCCUCAAUUGAAGUAGUGGGAUUGUUGUGAGGAUUAGGCGAAAAGAAAGCACUUGACCUCUAAGAGGUACUGAGGAUCCAUUCUCUCUUCUUCAUGGUUAGGCUUGACAUCUUUAUGUUAUUAUUACUGAGAAGUUUUCCAAAGUCCUUCAACUCAUGCCUAAGAGGUUUCAUUUUUGCCUUGUUUUUCUCUUUGGAUGAUGUGAAAUUUUAAAAGGGCAUUAUUUAGAGUUUCUCUAUAUGUAAAAUCUUUACAUCUUCUAGGGCAUUUUGGAUGAAAGAUCCAACUACAGGGCUUUGAGCAAUUCUUACCCACUCUGAAAUUAUAUGAUUGAUUCCUUUUGAGAACGAUGCCUUCUAACUUUCCUCCUCCUCCAGUGAUGCCCAUGGCUCAUUGGUUACCAUGGUAACCACACUCUAAUAAUCUUGUCAGGAAAUACGACAUAACUAUCUAUCUAAUCUUAUUUUCCAGACCUAAAACAAGCACCCAGCUUCCUUCUAGAGGGUUCAGGGCCCAAGUGUUGCUCCUCCUUGUUCUGAUGUUUUAUAAAACUGUACGUACUUGCAGAAGAAUGUACAUCAUUGGGUGUUUCCUCAACUUAGAAUGUUUAUGGCCCUCAGCGGCCAGUAGGUCGCUGUGAAGGCUUAUGUGAUCUCAUGCUCAUUCUCCUAUUGUUGAGGAAAUUUGGGGGUAGUUUAAAAAAUGCAGAAUUGUGGUUUCUAGAGGAUUUACAUUUAUUUCUGGACAUAAAAGAGUCUAAGGUAAUUGCUAGGAUACAUAGAUCAAGUCAGUAUUUUCACGUUUUUCAGGAGAGACUAACUUGUACAAAACACGUCUCUCCUGGCUCAUGAGCCAGAGCAAGUCCGUACCUUCUCAGCAGCCUCCUACCCCUUCCUCAGCAUCCCCUAAUACCCCCAGGUCCCUGCUCCUGGCAAGACCCCUCCAUACUGCCAGCCUCUUCAUCACUUUCUGCCUUGACCAUCAGGACUAGGCUCACCACACCUCUUUAUCCUGUUUGUGUCAGUCACCAUAGCAAGCCUGGGCUCCCAAGGCAUCCCACAUCUCUCCUCCCUGUGUCCUGUCCUUAUUUGACUCUUUCUUUUUUAAUUUAAAUUUAAAUCUAGGAGUUCCUGUCGGUAAUGAAUCCGACUAGGAACCAUGAGGUUGCAGGUUUGAUCCCUGGCCUUGCUCAGUGGGUUAAAGAUCCAGUGUUGCCAUGAGCUGUUGUGUAGGUGGAAGAUGCGGGUGACUUGGAUCCCACGUUGCUGUGGCCAUGGCGUAGGCUGGCAGCUGUAGCUCCGAUUUGACCCUUAGCCUGGGAAUCUCCAUGUGCCACGGGUGUGGCCCUAAAAAGCAAAAAUAAAGAAAAAAAAUUUAUUAUAGUGGAUUUACAGUGUUUUAUUUUCUGCUAUACAGCAAAGUGACCCAGUUAUACAUUCAUUUUCUUAUGUUAUCUUCUCUCAUGUUCCAUUGCAAGUGAUUGGAUAUAGUGCCCUGUGCUAUACAGCAGGAUCUCAUUGCUUAUCCACUCCAAAUGCAGUAGUUUGCACCUACUAGCCCCAAACUCCCUGUCCCAUCCACUCCUUCCCCCUCCCUCUUGGCAACCACAAGUCUUUUCUCUGGGUCCCCCAGUUUGUUUCUUUUCUGUAGAUAGGAUUAGAUUAGAGACCACAUAUAAGUGAUGCCAUACGGUAUUUGUCUUUCUCUUUGUGACUUGCUUCGUUUAGUAUGAGAGUCUCUAGUUCCAUCCAUGUUGCUGCAAAUGGCAUUAUUUUGUUCUUUUUGUAUGGCUGAGUCAUCAUUUGACUCUUCAUUUGAGUUUUCAAACUGUUGUCUCUCCCUCUGGAGCCUCAUCCCUGUCCACUCUGUGCCCUUGGGGCCAGUCAUCAGCCAGCCCCCAGCUUCCUGACCUUGUCUUUGAACAUGUCCUUCUCCUUCUUGCUUUUCUGGAAAUGGGUCUCCCCGGAUGAUACUGCUUCUCCUGCAGCCACCUGCAGUUUUUUUACUCUUACCCUUGAACCACAUUGAGGGGUGGGUUAGCAUCCUCUGUGCAGUUGUCGUGCUGUAUCCCCUCCUCCAGAAGGCCUCCCGCUCUGUGUCUCGGGCUGUCUCUGGCCCGCUGUCCCUCUCGGAGGUUACCUGCUCUGCCACCCAGGCACCCCCCCGCCCCCAACCCCUUCUCUGAAGAUGCCUGUUUCUGGUUCGCUGCCCCUCUCUCCAACACUGCUCUUGCUGGUUCUCCCAAAUCUCAGCAUUCACGCCGGUCAUCUUCCCAACCUUCGGCCCUCGGUUUCCCAACCUCAUCCCCUGUGAGUGUCUCCCCCGCCUUCCUCAGUAGCGCCACUCCGAGGUCAUGCCCUUGACCCUGACAUCGCCUCAGUUGCCUCCAUAGCUCCCUCUGGCCAUCCCUGUCUGACUCCCACUCCUCUCCUCCCGGCUGCCCUGGGUGGUACCUCCAGCUUCGACAGUCCUUGGACCUCCAGGUCCUUAGGUUCAUUGGCUCCACCACCUCUUCAUGGUUCCACCCUCACCCCAAGUCCUUCCUUCUCUCCUUCCCCAGCUUGAACCCCACUUCAGCCACUGUCAUUGCUGCCAUCUAUCCUCAUCGCCCUCACCCCUCUCACAAUGGAUCAUUCUUGCUUGACUAAGCCACAGCUCCAUUUACAUCCAUCUCUUGCUCUGCUCCAACUCUGUACUUGGACCUGUGCAGCCCGGUGUCCCAGGACAAAACCCCACCGCCGUAUGGAUCGUCUCUAAGUUGAUGGUCACAAAUGCCCAGUGGGCCCUUGACAUUGCCUGACAGUCAAGCCAUGUUUCCCCCCGUCUGUUUGUUCCCUCCCCCCUUAGACAACUAUCACAUACUUUAUACUUGCUCUUUAAAUAGCCAUUGUCUCCUUACUCUUAGCCACUGCCUUUUCUACUAAAAAAACUAGAAAUGGUCUGAAGAGAACUUCCCCAUGCCCACCCCCCUCACCUACCAUCUGCUCCUGAGCCCCGGAUCCUUGGGCACAGCAUCCAACUCCCAUCUCCUGAUACCUUCUCAAGGACAUUGCUCCAUAAAAUUUCCCCUUUCCUUCCUGUAUCAGUUUUCUGCUCUCUCCUGAAUUCCUACUGGCGUGUAACUUAUUAUUUUCCCCAUUAAAUAAGAACAUCCUGUCUUGACUCUGAUUUCCCCUGCAGCUACUGGCCAGUUUCUUCUCUCAGAACAUGUGGAAUGAGUCACCACCCCUCCCAUUCUGUCCUGAACCUGUUUCAGCAGGGUUUUUACCCCUCACUCUGAUGCCACCAGCUCUGCUCUUAUCAGGUCAUCGGCGACAUUUCCUUGCCCACGCCCACCGUGGGGUCCCAGCCACCUCGUAUUUCGCCUGCAGCAGCAUUUGACAUGGUCCAAGGGACUGCCUGGACCCACGCCUGGUUUUCCUUUGUUCUCUCCAGCUGGUCUUUCUUAGUCUUGGUCUCCUUUGCUGAUUGCUCAUCUCCCCAAACUCUUAAGUGGAGUGUUUCAGGGCACUUGUAUCUCGUCUCUAUUUCCGCUCAUACCUUAAAAACCAUCUAAGAUGAAGAUUUCCACAUUUUUAUCUGUAGCCUGGAUCUC